rnacentral:lncRNA from 1 species
UGCACUCCGCCGACGACCGCCUCAUCCGCGGCGCGCCCAUGGACAGGCACUCCAGCUUCUGGAAGGGCGCCGACGUCCUCGUCUUCAACUCCUACCUCUGGUGGGUCGCCGGGGACAAGAUCCAGAUCCUGUGAGUACAGACUGCAUGAAUCCAUUUGUUUAUGUGACGAGAUGAGAUCAAGUUAUGAGAACCGGAGCUGGGUCUGGACGGCCGAUGAGCCGCGCAGAAGGGGCGCCGACAACGACCCGAGCAAGGACAUCGUGGAGAUGAAGUCGGAGGAGGCCUACCGGCUGGUGCUGCACCAGGUGGUCCGGUGGCUGGAGCGCAACGUGGACCCCGUCAAGUCGCGGGUGUUCUUCGUCACCGCUUCGCCGACGCACACGGACG